rnacentral:rRNA from 1 species
GACGAACGCUGGCGGCGUGCCUAAUACAUGCAAGUCGAACGAAACUUUCUUACACCGAAUGCUUGCAUUCACCGUAAGAAGUUGAGUGGCGGACGGGUGAGUAACACGUGGGUAACCUGCCUAAAAGAAGGGGAUAACACUUGGAAACAGGUGCUAAUACCGUAUAUCUCUAAGGAUCGCAUGAUCCUUAGAUGAAAGAUGGUUCUGCUAUCGCUUUUAGAUGGACCCGCGGCGUAUUAACUAGUUGGUGGGGUAACGGCCUACCAAGGUGAUGAUACGUAGCCGAACUGAGAGGUUGAUCGGCCACAUUGGGACUGAGACACGGCCCAAACUCCUACGGGAGGCAGCAGUAGGGAAUCUUCCACAAUGGACGCAAGUCUGAUGGAGCAACGCCGCGUGAGCGAAGAAGGUCUUCGGAUCGUAAAACUCUGUUGUUAGAGAAGAACACGAGUGAGAGUAACUGUUCAUUCGAUGACGGUAUCUAACCAGCAAGUCACGGCUAACUACGUGCCAGCAGCCGCGGUAAUACGUAGGUGGCAAGCGUUGUCCGGAUUUAUUGGGCGUAAAGGGAACGCAGGCGGUCUUUUAAGUCUGAUGUGAAAGCCUUCGGCUUAACCGGAGUAGUGCAUUGGAAACUGGAAGACUUGAGUGCAGAAGAGGAGAGUGGAACUCCAUGUGUAGCGGUGAAAUGCGUAGAUAUAUGGAAGAACACCAGUGGCGAAAGCGGCUCUCCGGUCUGCAACUGACGCUGAGGUUCGAAAGCGUGGGUAGCAAACAGGAUUAGAUACCCUGGUAGUCCACGCCGUAAACGAUGAAUGCUAGGUGUUGGAGGGUUUCCGCCCUUCAGUGCCGCAGCUAACGCAAUAAGCAUUCCGCCUGGGGAGUACGACCGCAAGGUUGAAACUCAAAGGAAUUGACGGGGGCCCGCACAAGCGGUGGAGCAUGUGGUUUAAUUCGAAGCAACGCGAAGAACCUUACCAGGUCUUGACAUCUAGUGCCAUUUGUAGAGAUACAAAGUUCCCUUCGGGGACGCUAAGACAGGUGGUGCAUGGCUGUCGUCAGCUCGUGUCGUGAGAUGUUGGGUUAAGUCCCGCAACGAGCGCAACCCUUGUUAUUAGUUGCCAGCAUUAAGUUGGGCACUCUAAUGAGACUGCCGGUGACAAACCGGAGGAAGGUGGGGAUGACGUCAAGUCAUCAUGCCCCUUAUGACCUGGGCUACACACGUGCUACAAUGGGCAGUACAACGAGAAGCGAGCCUGCGAAGGCAAGCGAAUCUCUGAAAGCUGUUCUCAGUUCGGACUGCAGUCUGCAACUCGACUGCACGAAGCUGGAAUCGCUAGUAAUCGCGGAUCAGCACGCCGCGGUGAAUACGUUCCCGGGCCUUGUACACACCGCCCGUCACACCAUGGGAGUCUGCAAUGCCCAAAGCCGGUGGCCUAACCUUCGGGAAGGAGCCGUCUAAGGCAGGGC